ensembl:lncRNA
GUAAAGUGCCUUGAGACAAUUUUAUUGUUAUGGCGCUAUAUAAAUAAAAUUGAAUUGAAUUGAAUGUUAUUGACCAGACCACCAAUCACUGCUACAAGCUGUGAUCAGAAGUAAGAUUCCAUCACCCAUAAAAAAGCAAACCUUUGGACGCAGAAUGAGAGAACUGAUAUAUUGAGGAGGUAUAUAAACCCUUCACAGCUGUAACAUUUCCAGAAUUCUUAGGAGGAAGUCACCCAUCUGUAUGCACCUUUAACAGGUCCGUAAGAGACAUCUGCUGGUCGCCUCCGGUAUCAGGAGGGUAGGUCAUACAACGGAACCGAUUUGUUUCAGGAAAACUUCUGAAAACGAUAUUGCAAUGUCUACAGAGUAUUUUCGAGAUAUUUCAAAGAUUCCCUAUUCGCCCAGCGCUGGUGCCAAGGACGUGUUGUGCUUUAAGCACUACAAUGCAGGGGAAGUGUUACAUGGAAGGACGAUGGAGGACUGGCUGAGGUUCUCUGUGUGUUACUGGCAUACCUUCUGUGGAACCGGUGCCGAUCCGUUCGGAUCCCCCACGCUCCAUCGGCCUUGGAAUGAAGGGGGCAGCGCUAUGGAAACGGCAAAGAAAAGGCUCCAUGCUGCUUUUGAGUUCUUCACCAAACUUGGUGUGAAGUAUUACACCUUCCAUGACAGGGACAUGUCCCCGGAGGGCUCCACCCUGGAGGAGUCCAACCGCAACCUGGACGAGAUGACUGAUCUGGCCCUGGAGCUCCAGCAGCAGACUGGGAUUAGAGUGCUGUGGGUCACCUGCAACCUGUUUGCCCACCCCCGGUACAUGAAUGGCGCCUCCACAAACCCAGACUGCCAUGUUUUGGCCUAUGCAGCGGCCCAGCUGAAGAAAGGCCUGGAUGUGGCGAAAAAAUUGGGCGCUGAAAACUUUGUAUUCUGGGGAGGCAGAGAAGGUUUCCUGUCAAUAUACAACACUGAUGUGGCUGCUGAGCUGAAGCAUAUGGCGAACUUUUUCAAAAUGGCAGUCGCAUACAAAGAUAAGAUUGGACUGAAGUGCCAGUUCCUCAUUGAGCCGAAGCCUAAGGAGCCAUGCAAGCACCAGUAUGAUUACGAUGCGAUGAGUGUGAUUGGUUUCCUGAAGCAUUACGGACUGGAUCAGCAUUUCAAGCUCAACAUCGAGCCCAACCACACCACACUGGCUGGCCAUGCUUAUGAGCACGACAUCGUCAUGGCCUCUGUGUUUGACAUGCUGGGGUCUGUAGACUCCAACACAGGAUCACCUGAUCUUGGAUGGGACACUGACCAGUUCCCCAUGGACAUCAGGAACACUACAGUAGUAAUGAAGACCGUGAUUGAGCAGGGUGGGCUACAGCCAGGGGGCUUGAACUUUGAUGCCAAAGUUCGACGGGAGUCCACGGACCUGGUGGACCUGUUUAUUGCCCAUAUUGGAGCCAUGGAUGCUUUUGCCAGAGGCUUACGAAAUGCUGUUAGGAUUAUUGAAGAAGGAUUUCUGGAUGGCAUGCUUAAGGAUCGUUACCUUAGUUUCAGGGCGGGGAUUGGACAGAAAGUGGAUGAGGGCAGGGCCACGCUGGAAGAGCUUGAGGACUUCAUUAAACAAAAUGGGGAACCAAGCGUCACAUCUGGACAGCAGGAGAAAUAUGAGUCUGUUUUUAAUCAUUACCUGUGAUUAAAUCAGCAAUUACUUUUUUUUUUUAUAUCUAGGUCAAAUUCAGUUGAUUUUCAGGCUGCCUAGGUGUACUUGUGUUUUAGACUUUGGACUGUUUUCACAGUGUUGUCUAGUCUGUUUAUCCACUUCUUACAAUCUGACUCUACAGAAAGCAGAAUUCCACAAAAUGAAUAGAAAAGUCAUACAUCUCAUUCGAGCCUUUUGAAAAAAUUGUUUAGCUUUUCUUGUCACUCCUUUGUUAUGUGAUGCCUGCAUUAGGUAAUUACUUGUGAUGCCUAAAGACAAAUGUUUUGAAACUGACCCUAACUAGAAGACAAAAGACUGGUAGACUGGACCCCCUUUGUUCACCUAAAAACAAAUAAAAUUAACUUUCCAUAGAAAACUGCUUAGUGU